UAAUACGGAGGGUGCAAGCGUUAUCCGGAAUCACUGGGUAUAAAGGGUGCGUAGGCGGCUUGUUAAGUCAGGAGUGAAAGGCCAUGGCUCAACUAUGGGAUUGCUUUUGAUACUGGCGAGCUUGGAUUAGGACGAGGUUGGCGGAAUGUGGCAAGUAGCGGUGAAAUGCAUAGAUAUGCCAUAGAAUACCGAUUGCGAAGGCAGCUGACUAGACCUAUAUUGACGCUGAGGCACGAAAGCGUGGGGAGCGAACAGGAUUAGAUACCCUGGUAGUCCACGCCCUAAACGAUGCUAACUCGAUGUUCGGCCGCAAGGUGGAGCAUCCAAGCAAAUGCGAUAAGUUAGCCACCUGGGGAGUACGCCCGCAAGGGUG
rnacentral:rRNA from 1 species